GAGUUUAUUACAGAUAUUUUGUUCUUGACCUUUGACACUUGCCAUUUAGCAAUUGCAUGGUUUUACUUUUGUGGUUGUAGAGUUUCUGCUUUUCUUUCAUUAGAAUGAUAUAAGUAAAGGAAUAGAAACUGUUAUAUUUGCAAAAAAAGAGCAAAGAUGCUUUGUGACCUUGGGAAUUAUAUUUGAAGGUUACUCACAAGAGAAUACCUUGUUUAGGAAAGAUGGUUAAUUUUUUUCUUGCAAGCAGUCUUUUUUACAAAAUUAGUUAAUGGCAAAUGUGUUCUUUGCUGAAUAUUAAUCUAUAGUAUCAUUUAAGAUGUUCUUAAUUUAUGUUUCUGGACUUCGUUUAAAUGUCAAACUCUAGAAAGGGUAAACUAGCUCACCCCACUGCUAGGUAAUAGCUAGUAUUGUCUUCGCUGCAGGGCAUUUUACGGUAAAAUUUUGAAGUAUAUUGAAAAAAGUUACCAGUUCACUUACUAUACAAUAGCUUAGAAUGUGAAUGUCUGAAAGAAGAAAAAUUCAAUAAAUGACUAUGUAGUUAUUUGGUGGAAUUCACAACAUAAUAACAAGAAAAGGUUUUCAGCUUUGAUCAUAAUGGAAAUGAGUCAUUUAAUUUUACCCUCAGUCCUGGUACACAGUUUCAGCACCUGCUAAGAAGUCGGCUUGCAUUUAAAUGACUUAAGCAAUUAUUAAAAGCAAGUUUCAAGAAAUAAAUGGCAUUUAUAUAAAAAGGAGACUGGGUUCAAACUGCUAGUGCUUUAAAUUUCCAUAAAAGCAAAUUCAAGUUCAGAACAGGAUUCAGGAUUUAGUAACAAUUCAAAGGUUUUCAAUCCCUUAAUCUCUUUGUGAUAACUAUAUUCAUCAUUUAGCCAUUUUUAAAAGGAAGAGAAUAAAAACGUUAACAUUGAUGUCUACCAGCACUUGUGACUGAAAAAUUGAUUAUAUAUGGUAAAUACUUAUGGCUCCAAAUAGCUAUUUGAUUUAUAAUUUUGGUAUUGAAAUGUAAUGAAAUACUUCUAUUGUAUUUGCAAUCGCUGGAAGAGUAGUAUGAAUCAUACUUCAAAUAAAAAUACUUCUUUUUA
rnacentral:lncRNA from 1 species